rnacentral:rRNA from 1 species
CCCUUAGAUGUUCUGGGCCGCACGCGUGCUACACUGAACGGUUCAAUGGGUAAGGUAGUGCGAAAGCAUGACCUAAUCUCGAAAUCCGUUCGUGCUGGGGAUAGAAGCUUGCAAUUAUCCUUCUUGAACGAGGAAUACCUUGUAAGCGUGAGUCAUCAUCUCACGCUGAAUACGUCCCUGCCCUUUGUACACACCGCCCGUCGCUCCUACCGAUUGAGUGUUCCGGUGAGGCUUUGGGAGAAUGGCCUCAACAUGAGUUUAUCGUGUUUUGCCGUUCGAACUUAGUCAAACCUUAUCACUUAGAGGAAGGAGAAGUCGUAACA